rnacentral:rRNA from 1 species
GACGAACCGUACGAACGUUAUUCGGAAUCACUGGGCUUAAAGGGUGCGUAGGCGGCCCGGAAAGUUGGGUGUGAAAUCCCUCGGCUCAACCGAGGAACUGCGCCCAAAACUACCGGGCUUGAGGAAGAUAGAGGUGAGCGGAACUUAGGGUGGAGCGGUGAAAUGCGUUGAUAUCCUAAGGAACACCAGUUGCGAAAGCGGCUCACUGGGUCUUUUCUGACGCUGAGGCACGAAAGCUAGGGGAGCGAACGGG